rnacentral:rRNA from 1 species
AUUGUGAGCUUGAUGAGUAGGGCGGGACACGUGGUAUCCUGUCUGAAUAUGGGGGGACCAUCCUCCAAGGCUAAAUACUCCUGACUGACCGAUAGUGAACCAGUACCGUGAGGGAAAGGCGAAAAGAACCCCGGCGAGGGGAGUGAAAAAGAACCUGAAACCGUGUACGUACAAGCAGUGGGAGCACGCUUAGGCGUGUGACUGCGUACCUUUUGUAUAAUGGGUCAGCGACUUAUAUUCUGUAGCAAGGUUAACCGAAUAGGGGAGCCGAAGGGAAACCGAGUCUUAACUGGGCGUUAAGUUGCAGGGUAUAGACCCGAAACCCGGUGAUCUAGCCAUGGGCAGGUUGAAGGUUGGGUAACACUAACUGGAGGACCGAACCGACUAAUGUUGAAAAAUUAGCGGAUGACUUGUGGCUGGGGGUGAAAGGCCAAUCAAACCGGGAGAUAGCUGGUUCUCCCCGAAAGCUAUUUAGGUAGCGCCUCGUGAAUUCAUCUCCGGGGGUAGAGCACUGUUUCGGCAAGGGGGUCAUCCCGACUUACCAACCCGAUGCAAACUGCGAAUACCGGAGAAUGUUAUCACGGGAGACACACGGCGGGUGCUAACGUCCGUCGUGAAGAGGGAAACAACCCAGACCGCCAGCUAAGGUCCCAAAGUCAUGGUUAAGUGGGAAACGAUGUGGGAAGGCCCAGACAGCCAGGAUGUUGGCUUAGAAGCAGCCAUCAUUUAAAGAAAGCGUAAUAGCUCACUGGUCGAGUCGGCCUGCGCGGAAGAUGUAACGGGGCUAAACCAU